rnacentral:rRNA from 1 species
UACGGGGGGAGCAAGCGUUGUUCGGAUUUACUGGGCGUAAAGGGCGCGUAGGCGGCGUGACAAGUCACUUGUGAAAUCUCCGGGCUUAACUCGGAACGGUCAAGUGAUACUGUCGUGCUAGAGUGCGGAAGGGGCAACUGGAAUUCUUGGUGUAGCGGUGAAAUGCGUAGAUAUCAAGAGGAACACCUGCGGCGAAGGCGGGUUGCUGGCCGACACUGACGCUGAGGCGCGAAAGCUAGGGGAGCGAACGGG